rnacentral:rRNA from 1 species
GAACGCUAGCUACAGGCUUAACACAUGCAAGUCGAGGGGAAACGAUAUUGGAAGCUUGCUUCCGAUAGGCGUCGACCGGCGCACGGGUGAGUAACGCGUAUCCAACCUGCCCAUCACUUGGGGAUAACCUUGCGAAAGUAAGACUAAUACCCAAUGACGUCUCUAGAAGACAUCUGAAAGAGAUUAAAGAUUUAUCGGUGAUGGAUGGGGAUGCGUCUGAUUAGCUUGUUGGCGGGGUAACGGCCCACCAAGGCGACGAUCAGUAGGGGUUCUGAGAGGAAGGUCCCCCACAUUGGAACUGAGACACGGUCCAAACUCCUACGGGAGGCAGCAGUGAGGAAUAUUGGUCAAUGGACGAGAGUCUGAACCAGCCAAGUAGCGUGCAGGAUGACGGCCCUAUGGGUUGUAAACUGCUUUUAUAAGGGAAUAAAGUGAGUCUCGUGAGGCUUUUUGCAUGUACCUUAUGAAUAAGGACCGGCUAAUUCCGUG